rnacentral:rRNA from 1 species
UACGUAGGGGGCAAGCGUUAUCCGGAUUUACUGGGUGUAAAGGGAGCGCAGGCGGUAUGGCAAGUCAGAUGUGAAAACCCAGGGCCCAACCCUGGAACUGCUUUGGAAACUGUGCAGCUGGAGUGCAGGAGAGGUAAGCGGAAUUCCUAGUGUAGCGGUGAAAUGCGUAGAUAUUAGGAGGAACACCAGUGGCGAAGGCGGCUUACUGGACUGUAACUGACGUUGAGGCUCGAAAGCGUGGGGAGCAAACAGG